rnacentral:rRNA from 1 species
UACGAAGGGGGCUAGCGUUGCUCGGAAUUACUGGGCGUAAAGGGCGCGUAGGCGGAUCGUUAAGUCGGGGGUGAAAUCCUGGAGCUCAACUCCAGAACUGCCUUCGAUACUGGCGAUCUUGAGUCCGGAAGAGGUGAGUGGAACUCCUAGUGUAGAGGUGGAAUUCGUAGAUAUUAGGAAGAACACCAGUGGCGAAGGCGGCUCACUGGUCCGGUACUGACGCUGAGGUGCGAAAGCGUGGGGAGCAAACAGG